UUUUAAUCUUACAGAAUCCAUUAAUCAUGAUACUAUAGCUAUCAGCAUCAGGAGCCACUCCUAUUCGAGAAAUAAUGCUUGGAACAUGUCUGGCCUUAUUGAUUUCAUUAACUAGGUGAUGAGAUAAAACCGCAAGUGCAUGGUCUUACCGAAGUAGUAUGAAAAGAGUAUCGUUCCGACAGGGAGUUAUGAAUUCAAUUAACUUUAGAUAAUGAUUAGGCUAAAGUUUUAUAAGGUAGAAAGUUGUAUUUUUAAUUGAAAGAAAAUAAAAAUAAAAGAUAAAAGCCUUCNCGAGUUCAUGUAAUAACUCAAUAUAGAAUAGGAGCAUUGGAAGGCUUUGAUCGAGGAAAACAAGACUUAUACUUUGUAUAAUUGUCAUGCGUUUGAUAAUGACAUUGCAUUUAAUCCCUUUAAGGUUGUUUUUAGUUUUGGUACAAAGAUGUAGAAGUAUGACAAGUUAACUAAUGUUCUUACUCAUGAAUUUCGCUUUAAGUCAUUUAAGAAAAUUCAAGAUGGAAAAUUUAAAACUGACGUUUUAUAUGAUAUAGUUAUGUGCUUUAAUUUAUUUUUGUGUUUUCUCCGAUUAUAUUGUCCUCAUAGAUGUAAUUUUUUUUUUUAAGAAAUCAUCGGGCUUCUGCAUGAGAUUGUCAAGACACUGCCAAUUGGGACUAGAAAGAAACCGUGUAUGAACAUUGUUUUGAAAGAUAAAAGGUAUUAUUUUCUAAUUUUUCAAGAUCAGAUGAUAUAAUUUUAUAUAAGUUUGAUAAUGACCUGAAUGAUGUAUUUACUUAUACAGUGGGCAUAUGGUUGAUGUAACACUAUGGAAAAAAGUACUUCGUAGCUUUAUCAUUUACCAUCUAUAUACAUUGAGUUCUUUGCUUCUAUUUUGUAGUCAAUGGCAACCCAAAUAUAUGUAACAAUUGGUCAGGUUCGAGAAUGCACAUCAACCUACAUCAUCCGGUUGUUGAGAAGUUUAAGACUUAGUAAAUUUGCAUUAUGAUUUCAAAAUACAGUGUUAGAGUAACUUAUAAUUUCACAAUCAGAUUUGAUUGUUAUUUAACCAUGUUUCUUGAAUUGUUGUCGUGACCUUAACACUUCUCAAGCUCAGAGUCAAAGCUUCAGUCAAAACUUAAGUCAGAGUUCGGCUUCUUCUCAACGUACUUCGUACAACGAUUUUUCCAAUUUAUCUCAAGUUAGGGCAAUUAUUGAAUUUACAAACUUAGUCAAGGUUUGCUUUUUUUAUGCACAAACAUGCUUUGAAUUUUUUUACGCACAAAAUAAGAAUACAUAUUGCAUUAUUCUUUAUUUCAUGUGCAUAAUUUGUGUUAGGAAACAUAUUGCAUCACUAUUUGGAAAACAACUAAAUUCAAUCAUAAACAGUUUGGAUGGUAUUAUGAGAGUUGCAUCAAAUGUUCGAAGACAUCAAUGUCAAAUGAUGCUAGCUAUAGAUGCACAUGCGGGAGCGAUGCUUAAUUUCUAUUUGUUUCAACAAUGUUAAUUAGCCAACGGGGUACAUAUAAUCCACAUGCAUGCAUUUAUCUAGGCUUUAUAAGAAGCUAAUAGGAAUAUAAAUUAGAAGUCAUGGUACAUUUUAUUUAGCUUAUGCUACCUUUAUUUUAUAAAUUAUAUGUAACUAUAUUCACAUACAUCUGUUAAUAUGCAUUAGACUAAUGUUGCAAUUAUUUCUCUAUUUAGCAUUUCCUAAACGAGGUGUCAAGAACAAUUCUGAAAGAAAAGCGCAAAACAAUCACUCUCAUUGAUGACCAGACACAGAAAGUAUAAGUGUCGCCUCAUUACCGCCGAAAGAGCAAGCUAUGAAAAAUACUUGGGUGGACAGUGGUUCAAUUUCAGCAGAGAACAUGUGAUGGAAGAAGGUGGUAAGCUCAUCUUUGAUCUCGAAAAGUAAUCGAAGAACUUGCACGUUCGAGUUGUUCAAAAGUAGAUCUUUAUUGCUGAACUAUUUGAACUUCUACUAUUUUGGCGUAUCGUGUAACACCCCGUUUUCCCGACUUAAAAAUUUCAUUUAAUUAAUCAGAGUAUUCAACAUGUAAACGGAAUGCUACACUUCAUAAAAUCAUAAAUAAGUUAAUUAACUAAUUUAUCCUUCAACAUAUUAAUUCAAACUUUGCAGCGGAUUAAAUUCAUAAACAUAAAAAGUCUUGGCACGAAGGCCUCAUCAAAACAUCUCAUAAAAAUCCAAUUAACAACUUAAUCAUGUAAAUUUAUAAACAAUACGUAAGGAAUAGAAAAGCAUGCAACAAAGUUCCCAUCCCGUUACGUAUCAGAGCACCUAAACGACUCAGUGAGGGAUAGCCACUCACGANUCGACUUAAAAUCUAAGCUAUUACAUUUGGGCUAAAAAUAUAGUAGCUUAAAAUCUAAGCAAAAGCAGCAAAAGACACUCUGGAGGGUGGCACGGUCGUGCCAAGGCUGGCACGGCCGUGUCAAGGCUAGCACGGGCCGUGCCAAGCUUCUGACUUGUGGGAGACAUAUUUUUUGUCUUUCAAUCUUCGUAUUUUUGCAUCCAAUCGACUCCAAGUCCCUUUCUUUUGCUCCAAGAUUCAAUACAUCAAAUAUUCUUUCCUGAAAUAUAAUAAAAUGCAAUUUAAAGUAAACUAUCCUAAAAAGGAAAUAAUACUAAUAUAAAAUAUAUAAAAUUUAAAUAAAACUAAACUAAAAAGCAUAUUAAAAUAGUCAAUAAAUGACUCAUCACUAGGCAAUGUCCAUCCAUUAUUGAAUUGUAGGUAACUACAUCCGGUAUUACACCUUCUUUCAUCAUAACGGCUAACAGAUUCAUAGCUCCUUUCACAUUUCCUUCCUUACAAAGAGCAUCAACCAAUAUAUUAAAAGUAUAAACAUU
rnacentral:lncRNA from 1 species